CUGCCCUCAAGCACGGCUUGUGUGUUGGGCUCCGUCCCCCGAUCCCGGGGGACGGGCCCGAAAGGCAGCGGCGGCACCGCGUCCGGUCCUCGAGCGUAUGGGGCUUUGUCACCCGCUCUGUAGGCCCGGCCGGCGCCUGCCGAUCAACCAAAUUUUUAUCCA
rnacentral:misc_RNA from 1 species